rnacentral:lncRNA from 1 species
CGUAUUUGGAGGUAAACAGAAACGGGAUGAUAAAGUCCGGUAAUGGUACGGGAAACGGUAUAGGGUAACCGGUAACGAUACGGUAUACGGUUGAGGGGAUAUCCCGCCUGUAUUUGCAGGAUCUCGUUUUCAAUAGAGAUGGUCCCGUAUUCUUUCUGUUUCCUAGUAAAUGGGAUAGGCCCAAUAUGCACUAUCUGUCUAUCAAUCUAUCUCAUUCCUCCGAUCCUCCCCAAAUUCCAAUCGGCCCAGCCCAACGAGGCUGUGACAACCAACCAUCCAACACUCAAACCCUAGGCUAGCCUGGGCGCCUGGCGUGUGGUCUCGAUCUCACCUAGCACCAUAGCGAUAGCCUGCAGUGCCGCAGUCCUCCCGAGUCCCGACUCCCUGCGCUACGCCCUCGUCCCUCACCUCGUAGGCUCACAGCGCACCGCUCUUAACCCUGACCCUCACUGGUUCGCUGCCUCGUAGGCUCGCGGCGCACCGCUCGCACACCG